UCCCUCAUAGCUCAGUCGGUAAAGAAUCUGCCUGCAGUGCAGGAAACCUGGGUUCGAUUCCUGGGUUGGGAA
rnacentral:tRNA from 1 species